GCGUUGGUGGUGCAACGGUUAGCAUACGCUUACGCAAAGAGUGGGAUCUGGGUUCGAACCCCUGCUGACGCA